rnacentral:rRNA from 1 species
GCACAGGAAUGCACCGUAGUUUACUACACCGUAUUCUGUGAGUUGCGAACGGGUGAGUAACGCGUAGGUAACCUGCCUGGUAGCGGGGGAUAACUAUUGGAAACGAUAGCUAAUACCGCAUAAGAACAUUUACUGCAUGGUAGAUGUUUAAAAGGUGCAAAUGCAUCACUACCAGAUGGACCUGCGUUGUAUUAGCUAGUAGGUGAGGUAACGGCUCACCUAGGCGACGAUACAUAGCCGACCUGAGAGGGUGAUCGGCCACACUGGGACUGAGACACGGCCCAGACUCCUACGGGAGGCAGCAGUAGGGAAUCUUCGGCAAUGGGGGGAACCCUGACCGAGCAACGCCGCGUGAGUGAAGAAGGUUUUCGGAUCGUAAAGCUCUGUUGUUAAGGAAGAACGAGUGUGAGAAUGGAAAGUUC